UGGUAAGGCCUAAGUAUUCCCAAAGUCACCAAAUCCCAUCUGAUCUUGGAAGCUAAGCAGAGUGAGCCCUGGUUAGUACUUGGAUUAGAGACCUCCAGCAAAUAUCAGGUUAUAUUUCAGA
rnacentral:rRNA from 11 species